AGCCUAUCCAAUUAGGUUUAAAAAUUGCCGAAAAUCAUGUUCACAUUUUACGAAAUAUAGAAAAUAUCUUCCAUUUCUGCACGUCGGAGCCAUUAAAAAUAUGCCUUUUUCAUUAAGCGAAAAAAGUAGACGAUCUUUUUCAACUGCAGUUUAAGUCAAUUUGAGCCGCAUGACCCUAUAUAUUUUUUUGGUUGUAAUGCAACAC
rnacentral:lncRNA from 1 species